CGUCCUUUUCGUUUAUUGCCGCCGGCUGUCAAUGCCUCUUGGGUGGUACACGGGGAAUAGGGGAGGGUAAUACGAAGUAAUCCACGGCCGGAUGAAAUUGGCAGAACCUCGCCUGGGUAGAGGGUGCGGGGAAGGAGGACGGAGUGCUGUGGAGGCCGGCAUUUCAGGGGGUCGGGGAGGGAACGCGGGGGUCGCUGUUGGUGCCCGCGCUCUGCGGACGCCGACGUCUGGCUUCCCCACAGGUGCCCGGCCUCGUAGCCAAGCCUCGCAAACCUGCGGAAACCAAGGACUCCCCACUCCCAGCCAGGCGGAAGGAGGCUGGAUGUGAGUGGUCGCGCCGGCGUGAGCCGGUGGGUGGAGCGGCCUCAAAAUUUGUUGGCUGGAGUGUUAUCCUCCUUAACUAAUGCUAAACGUUUUGAAAACC